GAUGAACGCUGGCGGCGUGCCUAAUACAUGCAAGUCGAGCGAACAGAUGAGGAGUUUGCUCCCAUGGCGUUAGCAGCGGAGGGGAGAGUAACACGUGGUUAACCUAACUAUAAGACUGGGAUAACAACGGGAAAUCGGGGCUAAUAACCGAAAAUAUAUUGAACCGGAAGGGUCCAUAGUGAAAGAAGGUUUUGGGGUGACUAAUAGCUGGCUCCGCGCCUCAUCAGCUAGUUGGUAAGGUAGAGGAUUACCAAGGCAACGAUGGGUAGACGACCUCAACGGGUGAUCGCCUACCCUGGAACUGAGGCACGGUCCACACUCCUGGGGUGGGCAGCAGUAGGGAAUCCUCCGGAAUGGGGGAAAGGGGGACGGAGCAACGCCGGGUGAGUGAUGAAGGUCUUCGGACCGUAAAACUCUGUUAUUAUUGAAGAUCUAAUGUGUAAUUAACUAUGCACGUCAUGACGGUACCUAAUCAGAAAGCCACGGCUAACUACGUG
rnacentral:rRNA from 1 species